rnacentral:lncRNA from 1 species
CCUUGUGGUGCCUCUGAGUCUCCAGCAGGGGUGGGGGGUGGAUUUGGGGGUGCCAGGGGAUUUUGGGACUCCCCUGACCCCCCUUUUUCCCCCUCCAGCAUUCCAGUUCUCCUACACGGCCGUGUUCGGGGCCUACACGGCCUUCCUGUUCCUCAGGACCGGUCACCUGGCGGGGCCGGUGCUGUGUCACUCCUUCUGUAACUCCAUGGGGUUCCCGGCGCUGGGCGCGGCUCUGGGGCACCCGCGGCGCCGGGCGCUGCUCCCCGCCUAUCUGCUGGGGGUGCUGGGCUUCCUGCUCCUGCUGCACCCCCUGACCGAACCCGCCUUCUUCGGGGCGCGCCCGCCCUGCCGCGACCCCCCCGCCUGCUCCUGACACGGGGAGGGGGCGCCCGCCCCUCCCCAAACCCCCCCCUCUUUUUGUAGGAGCCGCCGCACAGAGUUUAUUUUUGUGAUUAAAGUGGUUUAAGGCUUUGUGGGGCGCACUGGGAUGGACUGGGGGGGACUGGGAGGGAAUGGAAGGGGGGUGGAAGCGCCUGGGAUGGAACUGGGAUGAACUGGGACGAACUGGGAUGGAACUGGGACGGCGCCGUCGGGGCUGGAGCCACCCCCGAGGUCCUCCGAGCCGCCAGAGGGCGCUGCCCCCGCUCACUAUGGGGUGGUACCGCACGAAGCCACGCCCCCUUCAGGCUCCGCCCACCGCCCGUGUCCACCGUCUUUAUUGGCUCGUGAUCCCCCCGUACACCCGCGCGAGGCCACGCCCACACCGAGACCACGCCCACCCGUCCAUCCGGUUCCCCCUGGGGCGGGGCCGGGGUCCCGGGGGUCCCGAUCAGCGCGGUCACCCUCCGGGGCGGGGCCCGGCCACAGCAGGUGUCGCGAUCCCGGAGGUCCCGGUAGCCCAGGGCCGUGCAGGUGUCGCAGUCCCGAUGGCCCAGGGCAGGUGUCACGGUUCCGGUAGCCCAGGGCAGGUGUCACGGUUCCGGUAGCCCAGGGCCGUGCAGGUGUCGCCGUCCCGGUCAGGUCGGGUGUCCCCAUCCCGCCGGCCCGGUCCAAGCCCCGCCGUUGCCGCCCGCUCCGCUCGGUCCCUCCCCGCGCCCCGGGCGGGUGCGGCGGUCAGGGCGGGUUGUCGCCGUCGCGGGCGGGGUCGCGGGGGCCGCGGGCGGGCCCGCCGUGGCUGUGGGCCUUGCGGACGUGCCGGUACAGGUCCCCGGACUGCGUGUAGGAGCGCAGGCAGUGGCGGCACUCGUAGGGCCGCUCGCGGGUGUGCACGGUGGCGUGGCGCCGCAGCGUGUACGAGCACGAGAACGUCUUCCCGCACGUGGGACACGUCGGGGCCUCCUCGGCGAACAGCCCGAA